GAUCUAUAGCCGUUGCCGUCCUAAAAUCGUAAGGUCUCUAAUCUUCAACAAAAAAGACGAAACAUAAGAUUUUUAAAGUUUUUUGCUUCCUUGCACGUGCAAGCGCUAUGAUGUAAAAUGCAGCCAAAAUUAGUCAUACCAAUUUGAAGCUCACUAUUAAUCAAUCAGAUACCUAUAUACUGAGCCUGUGAAAGGUAGCGGCAGCGGUAGUACAAGUCAAGUCUGGACCUCUCUUGCUAAUAUAACAUGUAGUACUGUAUAUUUAUUCUAAGCAAACGCACAUCAACUUCAUUGAAUUGGUCUUGGGAUCUUUAAUUUCUACUUCUUGUUAGAAACCUGUUCAAUUUUUAUAGGGGCUGUUUACAUCAUCACGCGAUUUCACUGGAAAAAAUACUGAAAUCCAUCCUAUGGACAAUUAGCCGGCCCACGCCGUCCUUUUUGGGGUACUGCCUUUUCUAAAUCUGCAUGAGAUUGUACGCAGUGAAUUAGGGAUUUGUAUGACUAUAAUUGCGAGUAUGAUCAUUAUAAGUUAAUUUACAGUUAAAUAUUUUGAAAAAAUGUUUUCACAUCGCUUACAGAUUUUUCACGUCGUUUUCAAAAAAGUACCCCAAAAAUGGCGGAUUUGGCCUUCUUGAGAAAGGUUAUAAUUGCACCACUAAAUCGAUAUAGUAUAUCCAUACUAUUUCCAUACUAUAUCCAUGGUAUGGAAAUUGAAAUUAUUAUGAAAAUUGGAUUUCCGUACUAUUUACAACGUAGAUCGAUACACUAUUUCCACAGUAAGAAUUUUGAAAAAAAAUCCAUGGGAUGAUUUUGAUGGAUUGAAAUCACUAGGCUUAAUCGAACGUUCAAACGCCACUUAAAAGAACUUAAAAGUUGUCGAGAAGUUCUCGUAGUUCAAGAAGAUUAUCAUUGCUGCUUCAGUGAACAACCUUUCGUUGACAAUUUUAUACUAUAAUCUUGAUUUUUUCUGUGUUGGUGUAAUGUACUCAGGUGAAUACUGAUGAUGCUUGUGAUGUUACUCUGAGUGUAUAUCCACACCGGGCAAGCUUGAAAAAUAUGCCUGACCACGGUGGGAAUCGAACCUACGACCUUUGGAAUACUAGCCCAUAUACUCGAACCGAUCUGACCGCGUAGCUCAGUUGGCAGAGCAUUGGGCUAGUAUUCCAAAGGUCGUAGGUUCAAUUCCCAUCGUGGUCAGGCAUAUUUUUCAAGCUUGCCCGGUGUAGAUAUACACUCAGAGUAACAUCACAAGCAUUAUACACUUUUAUCUAUCCGUGUAAAAAUAAUUCAGUUGUCCUGCAUGUUCCACCGCGACUUGUUUCAAUACAUCAAAAUCAUCCUGGCUCCCAUCUCGCCCGGGCAAUGGAGAAUCACGUGAACAGCCCCUUACUCGCUGAUACAAGGCUUUCGAGAGGUACAAAUUAAACGCAUGCAUAUCACAAAUAAAAUAGAAACUCGACGAGGGAAUAAGACUAGAAGCUGGCUAUGUAAAAAAUAAUAAAAUUAAAAUUGCUUUUCCAUCUGGUGGCUGCUUUCAAGUCGGUUUGUUUGUGUUUGUGUUUGUGUUUGUGUUUGUGUUUGUGUUUGUGUUUGUGUUUGUGUUUGUGUUUGUGUUUGUGUUUGUGUUUGUGUUUGUGUUUGUUCGUGUUUGUCUGUUAGGACUCAAAACGUAUUGGGCAGUUUGUAUGAUAUGAGAGUUAGU
rnacentral:tRNA from 1 species